UACAGAGGUCUCGAGCGUUAGGCGGAAUCACUGGGCUUAAAGCGUGUGUAGGCGGGUCGUUAAGUGCCUUGUGAAAUCCCAUGGCUCAACCAUGGAACUGCUGGGCAUACUGGCGAUCUUGUGCCGCCUAGGGGCGAGCGGAACAGAUGGUGGAGCGGUGAAAUGCGUAGAUAUCAUCUGGAACGCCAAUGGUGAAAACAGCUCGCUGGGGGUGUGCAGACGCUGAGACACGAAAGCCAGGGGAGCGAACGGG
rnacentral:rRNA from 1 species